rnacentral:rRNA from 1 species
ACGUAGGAGGCAAGCGUUGUCCGGAAUUAUUGGGUGUAAAGGGUGCGUAGGCGGGUGAGUAAGUCAGAGGUGAAAUGCCGGGGCUUAACUCCGGAAUUGCCUUUGAAACUGUGUAUCUUGAGUGGAGGAGAGGUAAGCGGAAUUUGUAAUGUAGCGGUGAAAUGCUUAGAUAUUGGGAGGAACACCAAUUGCGAAGGCAGCUUGCUGGACUAUUACUGACGCUGAUGCACGAAAGCGUGGGGAGCAAACAG